GCCUCUUUAGAGUUUUAUUUUGAGUUAGUACUAAUAAAUUUAUAAUUUAAUUAUUAGGUGAUCGAGAUCAACUAUUUUCCUGCAUCCAGCAGCCACAAUAGUCGACGGUGUACUGUGAUCGAGAUCAACUAUUUUCCUGCAUCCAGCAGCCACAAUAGUCGACGGUGUACUGCCACAGGAGGAGUUAUUUUACAGAGCAACCUGUUUUCUUCCUCGCAGGUUUAACGUCAAUUAUUUAAUUGUUUUACUAUCUUUUCUAAAUUAAAAAUCUAGAACUCCGCAUGUGUUAGAAAUAGAGUGGACCUUGGUAGAGGUUGUGUGAACUUAAAUUUUUAAGAUUAAUAAAUGAAGAUUUGUAUGGUAUUUAAA